rnacentral:rRNA from 1 species
UACGUAGGGUGCAAGCGUUGUUCGGAUUUACUGGGCGUAAAGGGCGCGUAGGCGGUCAGCACAAGUCAGUUGUGAAAUCUCCGAGCUUAACUCGGAAAGGUCAACUGAUACUGUGCGACUAGAGUGCGGAAGGGGCAACUGGAAUUCUUGGUGUAGCGGUGAAAUGCGUAGAUAUCAAGAGGAACACCUGCGGCGAAGGCGGGUUGCUGGGCCGACACUGACGCUGAAGCGCGAAAGCCAGGGGAGCGAACGGG